AAUCAACGCUGGCGGCGUGCUUAACACAUGCAAGUCGAACGAUGAACUUGGAGCUUGCUCUGGGGGAUUAGUGGCGAACGGGUGAGUAACACGUGAGUAACCUGCCCUGGACUCUGGGAUAACUUCGAGAAAUCGGAGCUAAUACCGGAUAGGACCUUGCACCGCAUGGUGUGGGGUGGAAAGUUUUUCGGUUUGGGAUGGACUCGCGGCCUAUCAGCUUGUUGGUGAGGUAAUGGCUCACCAAGGCGUCGACGGGUAGCCGGCCUGAGAGGGUGACCGGCCACACUGGGACUGAGACACGGUCCAGACUCCUACGGGAGGCAGCAGUGGGGAAUAUUGCACAAUGGGCGCAAGCCUGAUGCAGCAACGCCGCGUGCGGGAUGACGGCCUUCGGGUUGUAAACCGCUUUUAGUAGGGAAGAAGCCUUCGGGUGACGGUACCUGCAGAAAAAGGACCGGCUAACUACGUGCCAGCAGCCGCCGUAAUAC
rnacentral:rRNA from 1 species